rnacentral:rRNA from 1 species
ACAAGCUUAUUAGAGGGGGAUAACAUUCGGAAACGGAUGCUAAUACCGCAUAGUUUCAGGRAUCGCAUGAUUCUUGAAGGAAAGGUGGCUUCGGCUACCACUAAUGGAUGGACCCACGGCGUAUUAGCUAGUUGGUGAGGUAAUGGCUCACCAAGGCAAUGAUACGUAGCCGACCUGAGAGGGUCAUCGGCCACACUGGGACUGAGACACGGCCCAGACUCCUACGGGAGGCAGCAGUAGGGAAUCUUCCGCAAUGGACGAAAGUCUGACGGAGCAACGCCGCGUGAGUGAAGAAGGUUUUCGGAUCGUAAAACUCUGUUGUUAAAGAAGAACAAGGAUGAGAGUAACUGCUCAUCUCCUGACGGUAUUUAACCAGAAAGCCACGGCUAACUACGUGCCAGCAGCCGCGGUAAUACGUAGGUGGCUAGCGUUGUCCGGAUUUAUUGGGCGUAAAGCGAGCGCAGGCGGUUCUUUAAGUCUGAUGUGAAAGCCAUAGGCUCAACCGGGAAGGGUCAUUGGAAACUGGAGAACUUGAGUGCAGAAGAGGAGAGUGGAAUUCCACGU